rnacentral:rRNA from 1 species
UACAGAGGGUGCGAGCGUUAAUCGGAAUUACUGGGCGUAAAGCGUACGUAGGUGGUUGGAUAAGUCAGGUGUGAAAUCCCCAAGCUUAACUUGGGAAUUGCGUUUGAUACUGUCUGACUUGAGUUUGGUAGAGGGAGGUGAAAUUCCAGGUGUAGCGGUGAAAUGCGUAGAGAUCUGGAGGAACACCAGUGGCGAAGGCGGCCUCCUGGACUGAAACUGACACUGAGGUGCGAAAGCGUGGGGAGCAAACAGG